rnacentral:rRNA from 1 species
AUUGAACGCUGGCGGCAGGCCUAACACAUGCAAGUCGAGCGGAUGAAGGGAGCUUGCUCCUGGCUUCAGCGGCGGACGGGUGAGUAAUGCCUACGAAUCUGCCUGGUCUUUGUGGCUAACGUCCGUAAACGGGCGCUAAUACCGCAUCCGUCCUGAUUUAGAAAGUGGUGGUUCUUCGGACCUCACGCUAUCAGAUGAGCCUAGGUCGGAUUAGCUAGUUGGUUGGGUAAAGGCCUACCAAGGCGACGAUCCGUAACUGGUCUGAGAGGAUGAUCAGUCACACUGGAACUGAGACACGGUCCAGACUCCUACGGGAGGCAGCAGUGGGGAAUAUUGGACAAUGGGCGAAAGCCUGACGCAGCAAGGCCGCGUGUGUGAAGAAGGUCUUCGGAUUGUAAAGCACUUUAAGUAGGGAGGAAGGGCAGUAAGUUAAAACGUUGAUGUUUUGACGGUACCAAAAGAGAAAGCAACGGCUAACUACGUG